AAGUCGUAACAAGGUUUCCGUAGGUGAACCUGCGGAAGGAUCAUUCACACUUAAAGGAGUCUGAGCACUCAAAUGCUUCAUUCUCUGAUUCUCCAAACUAAACCCAACAUGCUAACGCUCCAACUUCAAGGCUCCCGUUCUAUCUUCGGAGGAAUGUAGGAGUAGUGCUUGGCUGAUGAUGGCGAGUCUCCGGGCUGGUUGUCAUCUCCAGGCAUGCCUAAUCAACUGAUUUUAUUACCCCCCGUCGUCGCUUGUGGAGCCUGCUCUGCUUGUGAUUGUCAUUCUGCCUAAGUCUGCUUCACAUCGAAUUAAGCACUCGGUGGGGAAGCAUGUUCGACCAAUACGCAACACUACACUUUUGUGUGAAAAAUACAACUCUUUGCAAUGGAUAUCUUGGUUCUC
rnacentral:misc_RNA from 1 species